AGUUAGUGGCGGACGGGUGAGUAACGCGUGGAAAACCUGCCGUAUACUGGGGGAUAACACUUAGAAAUAGGUGCUAAUACCGCAUAAGCGCACAGCUUCGCAUGAAGCGGUGUGAAAAACUCUGGUGGUAUACGAUGGUUCCGCGUCUGAUUAGCUAGUUGGUGGGGUAAUGGCCUACCAAGGCAACGAUCAGUAGCCGGCCUGAGAGGGUGAACGGCCACUGGGACUGAGACACGGCCCAAACUCCUACGGAAGGCAGCAG
rnacentral:rRNA from 1 species